AAAAGACUCUCGGCAACGGAUAUCUCGGCUCUUGCAUCGAUGAAGAACGUAGCGAAAUGCGAUACUUGGUGUGAAUUGCAGAAUCCCGUGAACCAUCGAGUCUUUGAACGCAAGUUGCGCCCGAAGCCAUUAGGCGGAGGGCACGCCUGCCUGGGUGUCGCGCAUCGUUGCCCC
rnacentral:rRNA from 1 species